GACGAACGCUGGCGGCGUGCUUAACACAUGCAAGUCGAACGGGCCUUGUCCUCUUUUUUUUGGGGGUGGGGUUAGUGGCGAACGGGUGAGUAACACAUGAGUAACGCUGCCCCUCACUUCUGGAUAACCGCUUGAAAGGGUGGCUAAUACGGUGUGUUCUGGCCUGCUCGCAUGGGUGGGUUUGGAAAGAUUCGACCGGCUUUGGUUGUUAUGGUGGGGGAUGGGCUCGCGGCCUAUCAGCUUGUUGGAGGGGUGAUGGCCUGCCAAGGCUUUGACGGGUAGCCGGCCUGAAAAGGUGGGCGGUCACACUGGGACAGACACACGGGCCAGACUCCUACGGGAGGCAGCAGCGGGGAAUAUUGCACUAUGGGCGCAAGCCUGAUGCAGCGACACCGCGUGAGGGAUGGAGGCCUUCGGAUUGAGAACCUCUUUCGCCAGAGAAGAAAGACCUGCUCUUUGUGCUGGGGCUGACGGUAACUGGAUUGAUGAAUCCGCGGCUAACUACGUGCCAGCAUCCACGGCAAUACGGAGGGCGCGAGCGUUGUCCGGAAUUAUUGGGCGUACAGGGCUUGUACGCGGCUGGUCACGUCUGCCGUAGAAUCCUCUGGCUCAGCUGGGACUGUGCGAUGUGUACGGACAGGCUUGAGUGCGGUAGGGGAGACUGGAACUCCUGGUGUAGCGAUGGAAUGCGCAGAUAUCAGGAGGAACACCGCUGGCGAAGGCGGGUCUCUGGGCCGUUACUGACGCUGAGGAGCGAUAGCGUGGGGAGCGAACAGGAUUAGAUACCCUGGUAGUCCACGCUGUAAACGUUGGGCAGUAGGUGUGGGGGGACUUUUCCGGGUUUUCCGCGCCGUAGAUAACGCAUUCAGUGCCCCGCCUGGGGAGUACGGCCGCAAAGUUAAAACUCAUAAGGAAUUGACGGGGGCCCGCACACGCGGCGGAGCAUGCUUAUUAAUUCCAUGCGAAGCCAAAAACCAUACCGAGGCUUGACAUGGGCUGGAUUGCUUCGGAGACGGGGUUUCCCUUUUUUGGGAUGGUUCACAGGUGGUGCACGGUUGUCGUCACAUCGUGUCUUGAGAUGUUGGGUUAAGUCUCGCACCGAGCGCACCCCUUGUCUCGUGUUGCCAGCUCGUUGAGGUGGGGACUCGCGGGAGACUGCCGGGGUUAACUCGGAGGAAGGUGGGGAUGACGUCAAAUCAUCAUGCCCCUUAUGUUUUGGGCUUCACGCAUGCUACAAUGGCCGGUACAGUGGGUUGCGAUGCUGUGAGGCGGAGCGAAUCCUUGAAAGCCGGUCUCAGUUCGGAUCGGUGUCUGCAACUCGACACCGUGAAGUUGGAGUCGCUAGUAAUCGCAGAUCAGCAGCGCUGCGGUGAAUACGUUCUCGGGCCU
rnacentral:rRNA from 1 species